rnacentral:misc_RNA from 1 species
UUAUCUAUCCCCAGGACCCGUUUCUUCCUUAAAGUUUUUGACACCACUGCUGGGCGUAACUCUUCCAAAUUAUAAUGGAUUUUUAUUUACUAGUUAUUGUAUUUUGUUUCAGUUUCCAUCAUUAAUCUAUCUCUAUGUAUCUUUUCAAAUUUAAGUGUCAUUAAUGCUUUUAUUAUGUCAGAAAUGUUAGUUUUUAAUCCUCAUGGAUCUGGAUUUUUUUUU